GGUAAAAUGGCUGAGUGUUAAGCGGCGGAUUGUAGCUCCGAGGAGAGAGGUUUAAAUCCUUUUAUUACCA
rnacentral:tRNA from 1 species